AGAAAGAAACCAAACACAAAACUCUCUUUACUGAUUAGGUAUAUUUCGUUCUUCAGAAGAAAAAAAAAAUCUUUACCCAUUACAACACGAGAUUGAGAGUUUGGAUUGAAUAUUUCUAGUGUUGCUGAUCGUUGGCUAAUUGGGUUCUUGUAAAUUACCUGAUCUGGUUACAGGAAUAUCAAUGGAUAAGUUUGUGAUUAAGAGAAAGAGAAUACCGGAGGGAAAUUCCCUUCAUCUUCUAGUACUCCUGAACCACAACAGGUACCUUCAAUAAUUGAAAUACACUCAUCUUUUACUGCUCCACAACAAAAGCCUUCAAUAACCGAAGUACCUUCAUCUUCUACUGCUCAUGGUCCAGAAGUACCUUCUGCUGCCCCUGUUUCUAAUCCACAAGUAAUUUCCACUAUUAUAAAUGAGUUAUCGAUCUCGGACCUUCCAACAGACCCUGCAAUGUGAUGAUAUUGGUGAUUCCAUUUUUGCUAUUAUGGUUGACGAGUAUCGAGAUGUAUCUGUUAGAGAGCAAAUGGCAGUUUGUAUACGUUAUGUCAACAGGAAAGGAUGCAUUAUUGAAAGGUUCAUUGGCAUCAUUCAUGUUCGUGAAACGACGGCAAUUUCAUUGAAGAAUUCAAUUGAUGCUUUGUUGGCCAAGUAUGAUUUAAAUAUAAAUAGAUUGAGAGGGCAGUGUUAGAUGGUGCUACUAAUAUGCAAGGGGAGUACAAUGGAGUUAAGGCACUCAUAUUAAGAGAAAACUCAUCGGCGUAUGUUAUCCAUUGUUUCUCGCAUCAUCUUCAAUUGGCAUUAAUGAAUGUUGCUCAACAGCAUGGCGAGGUUGCAUUGUUCUUUACUAUAGUUAGUGAAGUUGUUACUAUUGUUUCUGCCUCUUGCAAACGCAGAGAUGUUCUUCGAGAAAAAGAAUUGGCUAGAGCGGUUGAACUUGUUGAAAAAGGUGAACGUUUAAGUGGCUCGGGAUUGAAUCAAGAAACUUGCCUCAAACGACCUUCGGACACGCGUUGGGGUACACAUUACAACACACUGCUGAAUUUAAUUUUGAUGUUUCCAUCAAUUUUAGACAUGUUGGAGAUUGUCAGUCGAGAAGGUGCUAGUGAAGCGAGGGGAAAAGCAUACGCUUAUCUAAUCUUGAUGCCGACAUUUGAUUUUGUAUUUAAUUUGCUUCUGGUGAGCACUUUGUUAGGAGUCACUAACGAGUUGUCGUAGGCAUUGCAACGGAAAGACCAAGACAUUGUGAAUGCCAUGAAUUUGGUCAAGAUAUCUAAAGAACAACUACAUACCAUGCGAGGUGGUGGGUGGGAUAGUCUUAUGAAUGAUAUUUUUGCUUUUUGUGCUAAAAAAAAUAUUGCAGUUCCUGAAAUGAUGUCUCCGUAUGUACCACUCGGGCGAGGUAUACGUAAUUUACAAGAAGAGACAAAUCUGCACCAUUUUCAAGUGGGUUUGUUUAACAAUGUCAUUGAUAUGCAAAUUGCAGCGCUUAAUGACCGUUUCGAUGAAGAGAACACCGAGUUGCUUCUUUGCAUGUCACAUUUGAAUCCAAACGAGAAUUUUUCAGCUUUUGACAAAGGUGCGUUAAUUCGUCUUGCCAAAUUAUAUCCAUCUGAUUUUUCUGAAAUUGAAAUCAUGAUACUAGAACGACAACUAGACACCUUUCUUCGUGAUGUGCUUUCUAGUAACGAUUUUUUUGAGUUGGAUGGAAUUAGUGGGCUUGCCAAGAAAAUGGUUGAGACGAAAAGAAAUAUAGUAUAUCCUCUUGUUUACUUGUUGAUUACAUUGUCUUUGAUACUGCCGGUUGCUACAGCUAUCGUUGAACGAGUAUUUUCUGCAAUGAAAAUAGUGAAGAAUCGUCUGCGAAAUCGUAUUGGUGAUGAGUAUUUGAAUGAAUGUCUAGUGACAUAUAUUGAGCGAGAAAUUUUCCGCAAUAUCAGUAACGAAAAGAUUAGGAAACGAUUUCAAGGUAUGGCAAAACGUCGUGGCCAUUGUUGAAUACAAUAAGACUUGGAUUUUUUGGUAAAGCAUAUAAGGCGUUCUUUUGGGUAACAAUACUGCAUAUAAGGUAGUUUUUUUGGACUUUUUAUGGAUAUUGGAAGCACUUCUACAUGAUGCAUAAAAAUAUAAAAUUAGAGAAACAGAUCUGAUUUAGAAUUAACUAUCUAACAUGUGUCUUGUGGUCUGUAUUUGUUGUUACGGAAACACGAGUGUUAUGAUAUAAUAUUAUAUUAGAAUGAAAAAUACUUUUGUUAGAACCUUCAGUUCUAUUUUUUUUGUUGAUUCAAGUAGUUGUUGGCGAAUUUGAUUAUUGCUUUCGAGGUACACAUACUUAUGGCACAAUACUUACGGAAUCUAAAUUUUUUAUUAUUGCUUUACAUAUAUAGAAACUAAGGUUGUAUCGUAUAGUCGAAAAUGCAUGUUUUUUGUGACUAACAGGUUGAGCGCCGCAGAUUAAUAAUAUACUACGACGCUGGAGACGAUGAUGGUCAAAUAACAUGCAUAAAAGGUAUUUGAGCCAAGAAGGGAAUAGAACUUGUAUGCUCCUCUUCCCAUAGACA